rnacentral:tRNA from 1 species
GCUUCCCAGGCUGAGUGGGUAAAGAAUCUGCCUGAAAAGCAGGAGAUGCAGGUUCGAUCCCUGGAGGAGGGCA